UCGCCCAGGGAUGAGCCCGCGUAGGAUUAGCUAGUUGGUGAGGUAAAAGCUCACCAAGGCGACGAUCCUUAGCUGGUCUGAGAGGAUGAUCAGCCACACUGGGACUGAGACACGGCCCAG
rnacentral:rRNA from 1 species